AUUGAACGCUGGCGGCAUGCCUUACACAUGCAAGUCGAACGGCAGCACGGGUGCUUGCACCUGGUGGCGAGUGGCGAACGGGUGAGUAAUACAUCGGAACGUACCUUAUCGUGGGGGAUAACGCAGCGAAAGUUGCGCUAAUACCGCAUACGCCCUGAGGGGGAAAGCGGGGGACCGUAAGGCCUCGCGCGAUUAGAGCGGCCGAUGUCUGAUUAGCUUGUUGGUGAGGUAAAAGCUCACCAAGGGGAUGAUCAGUAGCUGGUCUGAGAGGACGAUCAGCCACACUGGGACUGAGACACGGCCCAGACUCCUACGGGAGGCAGCAGUGGGGAAUUUUGGACAAUGGGGGCAACCCUGAUCCAGCAAUGCCGCGUGAGUGAAGAAGGCCUUCGGGUUGUAAAGCUCUUUUGUCGGGGAGGAUGGUAGAGCAGGUUAAGAGCUAGCUUUGCUGACGUUACCCGAAGAAUAAGCACCGGCUAACUCCGUGCCAGCCGCCGCAGUAA
rnacentral:rRNA from 1 species